AGGAAGCGCAGUUGGAAAGGAAGCGCUAUGUGAUAAUGACAAGCAAUGAAUCAGAUAUGAAACGUGAUACAGAGCAGUGCGAACCUAGAGUGACAGUCGACGCAGGGCAUCCACGCUUUGUUACUCGAGCUCCGCAGGAUUUUUCUAACUUUUGUCCGCAAUGUAACGCAACAUUUGGUCGGUCGGUUGAUUCUGUACGUCAACAUUUCAGAAAUCAGCCACACUCAAAAUUUGAUUCUUGCGUAUAUUGUGGUACGGCAGUUUUCAUGUACUUAAGUGAUGGGAAACGUACUGUUUUCCAUGAAUGUCGGUCAUGUGCGAGCCCAAAUUGUCAACAAAUUCGGAACCAAAACUGCGAUCAAAAUCGUUAACCGGCAAUCUGUUACAAGCGGCGGGAAGGGGGGUUGUGCAAUGAUUCUAAUCUAUUAAAGACUGGACUGCGGUGGUAUUAGCGCAUUAAUAAUGUUGCGCUUCAUUUGUCUGUAAUGGAUUUUUGUCAACGAUUCCGGUGGGUACCAUCAGAGGUACAUUUCGAAAUGAUGCAGAUGCCCAGAAAUGAGUCAGUAUCUUAAAAAUAAUUUUUAUGUGAAGUUAUAUAGGUACCGUAUGAUUUCACUGUGUACAUUUAUAAAGUUUGGUUGACAGAAAUUCAUAGUCAUUUGAUAUGAAAGUACAUCACUGUUUUUCGUCUUCUUGUAUGAAAGUCAAAGUAUUCUCUCUGUCUCGUUUUUUGUAACAUGGUUUUAAAUGCUGUGGUCCAGUUUAAAUAUAUUGGAGCAAUUAGCUGUGUGAAACCUGUGAAAGAACUAUGUAUGGUAGCCAACAAGAAAAUUAUUUUUUUUUAAAGAAAUAUUGUGGUAUCGAUUAAUUUUUGUAUCUUGUGCCAAAUACAAUUUGCGAUUUUGGCUCAAAAGUUUGAUUAAUUAUACCACCUGCUAGGAUGAGGUGAACUACGUGCAGUACAUAUUAGCCCAGUUGCAGAUGAAAUCUAAACGAAAUUUAGUUUGACAUAGGCGUACAUAUACAAUCUUCUUCAGCAUGUAAUCAAACAUUAUUCAGCAUAGGCCUAUACUUCAUAUUGUGAAGCUGAACAUGAAUCACAUCAUCCUACCAUAGUGGCAAAGAUAGGCAACACAGCUAGAAACAAAGGCCAUAAAACAGUGAAUGGAACGCCCGUAUGCACUUGGCCCUGUUGCCAUCCAUUCUUUUGACUACACUCUGUUCCAUACAGAGCCGUAUACACAAUACACCAUCUUUGUUGUUUGGCAUCUCAGAGCUUGUCACCUUCCGUCCUAUCCUAGGCUUCAGGCUAUGCUACAGAUUAGUCUGUCACUAAAACAAAGGAUUAGGAAGAGGGACAAAAUCACACUUGAACCUUAUUUAGCAUUUAUUAUUAAUUUUUAGUUUAAUAUUUUGAUACUGGUGGUAUUUAUACUGUGAUAUUGUGGCACUGUCUAAAUGUGCACAUCUGAAUUCCCGCAUUACUAUAAUAUUUUAUGGUUUUUCAUAAUUCUGCUGUCUGUGAUAUUCUUUCUGAUGUAAUAUCUUGAAUUCAUGGAACACUCCACCAAAAUUUUAUCUUUUGUGCUUUAAACAAACUUGAUUGGACAUAGAUCAUUAUAAAUGUUACAUGUUUGCCUAUAUUAUACUUGCAUUUGCAAUACUAGUUUGGAUAUUUUAUGUGGCUGUUUAAAUUUAUAAACUAUAUGCUUAUCUUUUGGGAAUGAAUUAUUCCAGAAAGUGUGUUUUUACGUACGGUAUCUAGAAAUAACAUGUAUUAAUUAAAGCUGCUGAGUAUGGUUAUUGAUAAGAAACAUCAAUUGUGGUUCUGUGAAACUACAGAAUGUUUAAAAUAGUUUUGUGAUUGACAACAGGGAAUGGGAAAUCAUGGUAACAUGCAGUAUUUCAAUGCUGCUCCAUGCCGAUUAUUGUGUACACAUCUAAGAAGAGCACAAACUAUGCGACAGAGUGAUUCUGUUUGCUCAACUGUCAAAGUUAUUUUCAUGUUAAAGGACUGUAACUAGAGGAAUGCUGACAUAAUAUUGCUUUUUCAAUUCUCAUUUAAUGUAAAGUACUCUUACCACUUGUUCGUUUGUAUCUGUGUAAACGUGUCUGUAAUAUACUCUGGAAAAGUGUCAUUUCAUACAGUAGGGCUUAUAAAAACUAUGGUCUUAAGUAUUAUGUCAAGUUCUGCCUUUGAUUAUUAUAAAGAUUUGUGUACUUAAGUUCUGUGUUGUGCUGGCUCUGUUCAGUUGACAAAUAUGUGUGAACUGUGUAUGAUUUCUCUAAUGGAAAUACUUCAUUGACUGACUACAUCAGUAUGAAAUUUAAGAUCUAAUUUAUGCAUCUAAAUUGAAACUUUUGUGAAAUAUUUUUCUCAAAAAAUAAUAAUAAAAUAAAAUAAUUAGGUUUCAUGCAGUAAGAGUCAAGACCAUUUAAAAUUGAGAAGUAGACUAUGUGAACUAUGAAAAUAUUGUUGGACAGUAAAAUGUUGUUGAUGGAUUUUUUUUUCAAUCUUACCACCCAUUUCAGAUCAUUUUCAUCAUGUGGCUGUGUGACAGCUUCAGUUGCAUCAUGUGAGGGCAAUUGAAAGUAUGAUAUUAUGUAAUGAAAACUGUUGGCCAUGCAACCUUCCAACCAAACUUAGACCCAGAUAGUACUAUAGAUCAAUCUGUUACAAUAGUUUAUACUCCAAAAAAUUAUUUGUAGAAUUUGUAAUUUCUCCCUUGUCUCAGUAAUUAUUUAUUUACAGUACUGUGUACAGACAAUAUUUUUGGAUGUCUCUUCAGCAUUUUUAAGACUGUUUUCUGAAAGUAUGUAUAAAACUGUAAAUUAGCUUGUUUUACAGUAAGUGUGUAUUUAUAUUGCCAAAAAACCAUUGUAUUUACAUUUGGUAUUAAUGAUAGACAAACUUGCAAUUAAAAAAGAAAACAUUCAUUAGAUAAUCAAAAAGGUGCAUGUUUAUGCCAAGAAAACUGUUGAAGGAAGAUACAUGAACCGAGUUGUGGUUUUGUCUCCUGUAUCAGAAGUUAGACUUUGUUUGUACUCAUGUUGUACUAAUUUAUUUUUCUAUCUAUUUAUUUAUUUAUGUUAUGUUUCAAAUCAAACACCAAAUAGUUUCCUAGUCCUAACAACAGACAGAGCUUUCUAUGUCUGUGUGUUGUUUGACAUUGUUUGUGUUUGAUCUGUCAGUGCCAGCAGUCAGUUGGUGACAUGGUCAUUGUUGGAGAAUCUAUUUAUUGUUGCUUUUUGUGUAUAAAGAACUAAACUGUUUAUAAAUAGUUGUGAUUUUUAGUUAUGAAUUUUGAAUUCUAUAUAUUGUAAUAAAUGUGCCAAGCUGAAUAAUGUGAUAUUGUUUCUAAAAGCA